AUUGAACGCUGGCGGCAUGCUUUACACAUGCAAGUCGAGCGGCAGCGCGGGGGCAACCCUGGCGGCGAGCGGCGGACGGGUGAGUAAUGCAUCGGAACGUAUCCCGUAGUGGGGGACAACCCAGCGAAAGCUGGGCUAAUACCGCAUAUGCUCUACGGAGGAAAGUGGGGGACCCGCAAGGGCCUCACGCUAUGGGAGCGGCCGAUGUCCGAUUAGCUAGUUGGUGGGGUAAAGGCCUACCAAGGCGACGAUCGGUAGCUGGUCUGAGAGGAUGAUCAGCCACACUGGGACUGAGACACGGCCCAGACUCCUACGGGAGGCAGCAGUGGGGAAUUUUGGACAAUGGGGGCGAACCCUGAUCCAGCCAUGCCGCGUGCGGG
rnacentral:rRNA from 1 species